AGUGAACGCUGGCGGUAGGCCUAACACAUGCAAGUCGAACGGCAGCACAGUAAGAGCUUGCUCUUACGGGUGGCGAGUGGCGGGCGGGUGAGGAGUACAUCGGAAUCUACUUUUUCGUGGGGGAUAACGUAGGGAAACUUACGCUAAUACCGCAUACGACCUACGGGUGAAAGCAGGGGAUCUUCGGACCUUGCGCGAUUGAAUGAGCCGAUGUCGGAUUAGCUAGUUGGCGGGGUAAAGGCCCACCAAGGCGACGAUCCGUAGCUGGUCUGAGAGGAUGAUCAGCCACACUGGAACUGAGACACGGUCCAGACUCCUACGGGAGGCAGCAGUGGGGAAUAUUGGACAAUGGGCGCAAGCCUGAUCCAGCCAUACCGCGUGUGUGAAGAAGGCCUUCGGGUUGUAAAGCCCUUUUGUUGGGAAAGAAAAGCAGUAGGUUAAUACCCCGCUGUUCUGACGGUACCCAAAGAAUAAGCACCGGCUAACUUCGUG
rnacentral:rRNA from 1 species